AGAGAUGGUGUUUGUAAGUCGCUCUGGAUAAGAGCGUCUGCUAAAUGACUUAAA
rfam:Salmo salar isolate Sally breed double haploid chromosome ssa12, whole genome shotgun sequence.